rnacentral:precursor_RNA from 1 species
UAGGUUUUUUUCAUCUUCUCCCUCCCUCCCUCUCUCUCUCUCUCUCUCUCUCUUUUCUCUUAUUAUCUUAGGAAGAGAUUGAAAAAAACUCAGGGAAGCAAAGAGGGAGAAAGAGAAAGAGAGAGAGGGGGAGGAAGAAAAAAAAACGAAAAUG